AACGAACGCUGGCGGCAUGCCUAACACAUGCAAGUCGAACGAGACCUUCGGGUCUAGUGGCGAACGGGUGAGUAACGCGUGGGAAUCUGCCCUUCGGUUGGGAAUAACUGAGAGAAAUUUCAGCUAAUACCUUAUAAUGUCUUCGGACCAAAGAUUUAUCGCCGAGGGAUGAGCCCGCGUAGGAUUAGGUAGUUGGUGGGGUAAUGGCCUACCAAGCCGACGUUCCUUAGCUGGUCUGAGAGGAUGAUCAGCCACACUGGGACUGAGACACGGCCCAGACUCCUACGGGAGGCAGCGGUAGGGAAUAUUGAACAAUGGGCGAAAGCCUGAUCCAGCAAUGCCGCGUGAGUGAUGAAGGCCUUAGGGUUGUAAAGCUCUUUUACCCGGGAUGAUAAUGACAGUACCGGGAGAAUAAGCUCCGGCUAACUCCGUG
rnacentral:rRNA from 1 species